AGCGGGAGGCGGGCGGCGGGCGGCUCCUCCUCGUCGCGAACUCUCGAUGACCUUGGUCAAGUCCCUUCAGUUCCCUGAGCCGGCCCUUUCGUCUGUAAAAGGAGCAUCUUAAGCCCUGUCUCCUGGAUAGGCCGUUUAGGGGUUCAGUGGCGGGAACCCCCCGAGGGGUCCCUGGAGUAGCGGGCGGUUUGCCGGGCACGACUCCACCUAGGGAGAGGAAGAAAGGGCUUCUUAACGUUUCCUUUUGUCACAGGCUAUGCGAGGGGAGCUCUCACUUGUAUAUUUUAAGAACUCCAGACUGUUAUGAAGUAGUUGCAGAACUUUGGUUUAACAUAAAACGGGCGACUAGAAGCCAGCGGAGCCCUUGCUGUGUGUGUGGUUAGCUUCUUUGUGGCCCGCGUGGCCCUGCUCUUACAGGGGUGUCACCCUCCAGCUGCGGACACGGCUCUGUUCACAUUUUCUUUAGAGAAUGGGGUGAAGCAGUAGAGACCCUGAGCUUUUGAAGAAGUCAAUUUGUUUUUCCUGUGUUUGCCGGAACCCUUACCACCCACGUAGGAAAUUGUGGUGCUGGCCGAGCAAGUUCGGUGUCUGGCCGUGGGAGGUCUUUGUGAACCUUGGAGUCAGCUUUCCAGUUACCGAAUUUUGAGAGAGUGACUAGCAUGCAGAUACCCAUGCUCUAAUUUGCUGCCCCUCUACCAACAUGGCCCACCGGGGUGGGGAGAGGGACUUCCAGACCUCAGCUCGGCGCAUGGGCACGUCCCUGCUCUUCCAGCUUUCAGUGCACGAACGGGAGCUGGACCUGGUUUUUCUGGAUCAUAGCUAUGCCAAGCCAUGGAGUGCUCACCCAGAUGCCAGUAGUGCCCGCCCCACCCGCAUGCUCUUCGUUACUCCCCGGCGGCAACAUGAAAGUACCAUUGAAUCAGACGUCCCAAUAGAUGUGGAGACGGUCACUUCAACUCCUGUGCCACUCUAUGAUAAUCAGAAGGCGCGCAGCGUGAUGAACGAGUGUGAACGUCAUGUCAUCUUUGCCAGGACUGAUGCAGAUGCCCCUCCCCCACCAGAGGACUGGGAGGAACAUGUUAACAGGACUGGCUGGACAAUGGCCCAGAACAAGCUAUUCAACAAGAUCCUCAAAGCCCUCCAGUCUGAUCGGCUUGCCCGCUUGGCCAAUGAAGGGGCAUGUAGUGAGCCAGUGCUGCGCCGUGUUGCCGUGGACAAGUGUGCAAGGAGAGUGCGGCAGGCUCUGGCAAGUGUGAGCUGGGACACCAAGCUGAUCCAGUGGCUGCAUACCACCCUUGUGGAGACCUUGAGUCUGCCCAUGCUGGCAGCCUACCUGGAUGCUUUGCAGACACUGAAAGGGAAGAUCCCAACCUUGAUUGACCGGAUGCUUGUGUCAUCCAAUACAAAGACUGGGGCUGCUGGAGCUGAGGCCUUGUCUCUCCUACUGAAGAGGCCCUGGGACCCUGCUGUGGGGGUGCUUUCUCAUAACAAACCAAGCAAACUCCCUGGCUCUCCCCUGAUUCUUAUUGCCUCCUCUGGCCCCUCCAGCUCUGUGUUCCCCACCUCACGCCGACACCGGUUCUGGCAGUCUCAGCUCUCUUGCUUAGGCAAGGUCAUCCCUGUAGCCACCCAUCUGCUGAACAAUGGCAGUGGGGUAGGAGUUCUGCAGUGUCUUGAGCACAUGAUUGGGGCAGUGAGAAGCAAAGUGCUGGAGAUUCACAGCCAUUUCCCACACAAACCCAUUAUCUUGAUUGGCUGGAACACAGGAGCUUUGGUGGCCUGUCACGUGUCGGUGAUGGAGUAUGUCACUGCAGUUGUCUGCCUUGGGUUUCCUCUGCUCACCGUGGAUGGCCCCAGAGGGGAUGUGGAUGAUCCUGUCUUGGAUAUGAAGACACCAGUCCUCUUUGUCAUUGGUCAGAAUUCCCUGCAGUGUCAUCCUGAAGCUAUGGAAGACUUCCGGGAGAAGAUUCGGGCUGAGAACAGCUUGGUGGUGGUUGGGGGAGCUGAUGAUAAUCUCAGAAUAAGCAAAGCAAAGAAGAAAUCAGAAGGGUUAACUCAGAGCAUGGUCGACAGAUGUAUUCAGGAUGAGAUUGUGGACUUUCUGACUGGAGUGCUCACUCGUGCUGAGGGUCAUGUGGGCUCUGAGCCUCGAGAUCAGGAUGCUGAGAAAAAGAAGAAGCCCCGUGAUGCAACCCGCAGAGACCUACCCUUUGAAGUCCCAGAACGGGGCAGUCGACCUGCCUCCCCAGCUGCCAAGCUACCUGCCUCACCCUCAGGCUCAGAGGAUCUCUCCAGUGUGUCUAGCAGCCCCACCUCCAGUCCCAAGACCAAAGUAACCACAGUGACCUCUGCCCAGAAGUCCAGUCAGAUUGGGAGCUCUCAACUGCUGAAGAGACAUGUACAGCGGACAGAAGCUGUGCUGACCCACAAACAAGCCCAAGCACAGUUUGCUGCUUUUCUGAAACAAAAUAUGCUGGUGAGGAAAGCUCUUCCUCCCGGCACCUCCUCCUGUCUCUUUGUUCCCAUUUCAUCAGAACCAACAGAGGAAGCAGAGAAAGAGGAUCUUAGGGUCCAGCUGAAGCGGCACCAUCCCUCGAGUCCUCUUCCUGGCAGUAAGACCUCCAAGCGACCAAAGAUCAAGGUGUCCCUUAUCUCCCAAGGUGACACAGCUGGAGGGCCUUGUACUCCUUCCCAAGGAGGAGCUCCAGAAGCCGCAGGUGGGAAGCCCAUCACCAUGACACUGGGGCAAGCUUCAGCAGGGACCAAGGAGCUCACAGGACUUCUCACCACAACCAAGUCAAGUGCCUCUGAAGGUGGAGUCUUAGCUAGCCCAGCCCCUUCAGUGGUCUCCAGCAGCGCUGCACCCAGUGCCUUGCACACACUCCAGAGCCGCUUGGUGGCCACAUCUCCUGGCAACUCUCUCCCAGGGGCCACGUCAGCCAGCAGUCUCCUCCAAGGCCUCAGCUUCAGCUUACAGGAUAUCAGCAGUAAGACUUCUGGCCUCCCAGCAAAUCCCUCCCCAGGACCAGCCCCACAGGCUACCAGUAUGAAGUUGCCCACCCCCAUGCAGAGCCUGGGUGCCAUCACCACGGGCACCAGCACCAUUGUUCGUACCAUUCCUGUGGCCACCACUCUCUCCUCCUUGGGUGCCACUCCUGGUGGGAAGCCCACAGCCAUCCACCAGCUGCUGACCAAUGGGGGCCUCGCUAAGUUGGCAAGCAGCCUCCCUGGCCUGGCUCAGAUCUCUAACCAAGCAUCAGGCUUGAAGGUUCCCACCACCAUUACUCUGACACUCCGUGGUCAACCAAACAGAAUCACCACGCUGAGCCCCAUGGGCUCAGGAACAGCCCUGUGCGAGGAGCCCACCCCCCAGGUGCUUCCCUCCAGCUCACAGGUUGGUGAUGGCUGCCUCACGGUGGGCCCUGGGCACGUGUGGUCUUGCUGAGCUGUCCAUGUGUAUGAAGACCUCUGUAAGACAGUCAUUUUUGUCUCUCUGCCAACUGUCUUCGGGCUUGGUCCUCUGGGUCUUGUGAAACCGGUAAGCGAGGUGAUACGGCGCCAGCAAGGGGAGCACCAUCCUCCAGGAUCUGCAAGUCUGAUUUCCGGAAUCCCCAGCCUCCUCAGCAGAUCUGGCUAUGCAGGGAUCAGAGGCAGUUCUUCCCCUGCAUUAAGCAUGGUUUGACCUGCUCCUGUGUUUAAUAAAGGAGUUUCCUUUUGGAAGUCUGUGCUGCCACCUGUGCCCAGUUGGGAAGGAGAUGUCCACAUGGUCUGGGCUAUGGGAGUUGGACUGAGAGCCCUUUGCUUAGGACCAGCAUCAUCCUGGCCUGCGGGCUAGUGUUUUCAGGGCCUGAAGGGCUUGUUUUGGACAUCACAGUUGUCUUCGUUGAGCAGCCAUGGAGAGAACGUUGGAUACUAAGUAGCCUGCUGAUACCUGGCAACUCCCGAUUUUCGUCGGUUUCUCAAUGAAGGCAAAGGGAACUGGACUAUUAUCUUUUAGCCCCUUUGGCUAAUCUAGACGUGGGAAGCAGUGGUCCCCAGGAAGUGAAAGCUGAACCCUUUCUAUUUUUCACCAUGGUUUGGGCAGUUCCUAUAUCCAGAGAUUCCAGUGGUCCAGAAAGGCUGAAAAAGAGGAAUGGAAUGGCAAAGGAAAUGGCUUAAAGGAUGUGCCAGUAAGCCCUGUGGUGAAGACAAUUUGGGCUUGGGGCUGUGCAUCUGCCACCUAAGGAACUAGUGGUUUAGCUGGAGAUGAAGAAUUUGUCAAGUCAGAUGGAAGAAACUCCAGCACCUGAAAGUCCUAUCUCCAGUGCCUGGAGGUGAAGUAGGGACAACAAGCUAAGUGCCCAUCAGUGCCAAGGGUGUUAGCCUAUGGGGGACAAAGAGAGAAGCAAGAAUGAGACACCACCACUAAAAGGGCUGCAGGUGGACCCACCCUCCCCCAGCCUAGAAAAAGAUUUAAGAAAAUGGUAAAAUGGGAAGACCUUCUUCAUACUGCUGUCAGGAAAAUGAGGAAGGCGAUGAGGAGGACCACAGGUGAGGAGGAGAGGAGGGCCAUGCUGCCUCACUGGUAAGAAGCCCGCUGCUCCCUCUGGUACUGGGUGUUACACAUCUGCUCAGACACAUACUCCGUUAUCUUAAUCUCAGUCUUGGUGAAGUUCUCCCCUUUGGUGGCAGUGGUGACUGCCGAUUGACUAUGCUGUUGACGCAGUUGUGGAUGAAGUUGUUGCGGUUGCUGUACUGAUCCACGGGCCUUAAGUAUACUUGGUUGGGGUAAUGGUACAUGUUUUCAUGAUAGUAACGGUUCUCAUAGUCAUCACCAAAAUGUAUGAAGAGCCUGCUCAUGGCAUUCCCCAGCAUAUAGCUGCCAAAGCCCCCUACUACUGCCCCAGCCAUGGCAAUGCCCACCACCUGCUUCAGGUUGGUUUUGUGGGUGCCACCUCCUUGACCCCAGCCACUACCACCCUGAGGCUACCCCCAGCCACCACUGCCCUGGGGUGGGUAGUGGUUGCCUCCAGGGUUGCCAUGGCCAGGGUAUCGGCUCCCCACAGUGUUCCUUCCUCCUUCAGGCUUGGGUCACUUGUAGAGGCUCAUGUCAUUCCAUGUGGCCACAAAGAGAACAAGCAUCCAGCAGCCAAGUUUCACCAUGAUGGCUGAUAAUCUGUUGUGGCUCAGCUAAGCUGGAUUUGUGUCUCUGGGAAGACAGAAUGCUUUGGCUUGGCUAGAGAUUGUUCAGUUUUGAAGUACACUCAAGAGUCAUGCUGUGGUGGGAACGAGAGAAGCAGCUUGCAGCACUGCAGCUAUCAGUGACUGGCUUGUUAUUUUUUAACAGAGAAAAAGCCAAAUUCUAGUUUUAUAUCAUUAUAGUAUUUAAUACUAAAGCUGUUUUUGAAAAUAUUGUAAAUAAACCCAUCAAACUUUAGCCAACUUUGACCACACAAAUAGAAUUCUUUUUUUUUUUUUUAUAGCAGCUGGCUGGUAUGGCUGAACCCUUGAUCUUGGUGUCAUAACACCACAUUCUAACCAACUGAGCUAACUAGCCUUAGUUAAAAUUCCUUUCUACAAACCUACAACUUUUUAUAUCCAUACACAUCGCUUACAGUAUAACUUCUCAAGGUGACAGAAAUGAACAUGUUCAUUAGUAGACCUAUAUAUAUAUAUAUAUACAGCCUUUCAGUACCACAUAAAAAGACAAAAAUACAUAAAACGCCUGUAUUUAAUAUUCCAGUAUUUUAUCUUACUUAGAAAUGAUUUGGGAAUCGAAUGAAUGCUAUUGUUUGAAUGUUUGUGUCUCCCCCAAAUUCAUGUGUUGAAACCUAAUCCCCAAUGUGAUAGUGUUAGGAGGUGGGACCUUUGGGAGUUGAUUAGGUCAUGUGGGUGGGCCCUCAUGAAUAGGAUUAGUGUCCUUAUGAAAGAGAAGUACGGGAGUCUUAGCUCCUUUUGCCCAUCUGCCAUGUGAGAAUACACAGAAGGGGCCAUCUAUGAGCAAAUGGAAUCUUCUUGGUCUUUCCAGCCUCCAGACUGUGAGCAAUACAUUUCUGUUGUUUGUCUUUUUUUGUUUGUUUUUUUUUUUUGGCAGCUGGCUGGUACAGGGAUGAAACCCUGGACCUUAGCAUUUUUAGUACCACGCUCUAACAAACUGAGCUAACCAGCCAGUCCAAUUUCUAUUGUUUAUAAACUACCCAAUCUAAGGUAUUUCAUUAGAUCAGCCUGAAUGGAAUAAGACAAUGAAUAUCCAUUAACUCAAUUUAGAACCAAUCCCAGGUUUUUGUUUGUUUUUUUUUAAGAUGACGGGUAAGGGGAUGUUAACCCUUGACUUGGUGUUUUCAACACCACGCUCUCCCAAGUGAGCUAACCGGCCAUCCCUAUAUAGGGGUCUGAACCUGUGGCCUUGAUGUUAUCAGCACCACACUCUCCCAAGUGAGCCAUAAGCCGGCCCCAAUCCCAGGUUUUACGUUACCUAAAGGUCUUAGAAACUCUCUCCCAGUUGACAUACUGCAAGAUGUAAUUACUAUGGAAUAGUUUGUCAGAAUAAUGAUUCAAUUUGGUUAAACAUAAAUUUACAUGUUUCAUUUCCUAAUCUUAAAUAUUAAGUCGAAGUAAUGCUAGUUUAUUUGAUUGGUAAAGCUCUAUAAGUUUAAGAACAUAACCCAAGUAGAAUAAAACAUAGCUUAUAUUAUAUUUGCUGGUGAUAAUAUAGAGAAGACAGUGGUAUUCAUUCAUUCAUUCAUUUAUUUAGGCAGCUGACCGGUACAGGGAUAUGACAUAGCUGUUUUUAUUAAAACAUUAUUAAAUUAGUCUCACUUGCAAAAUACUUAUAUGAAUUUUGUGAUCUUGAAUUCUUAAAACAUUUGUUAGUUUGUAUAACAUUGAAAGAAUUAGAGGUUUGGUUUCCUUAAUUUGGGGGAAUUUCAGGAAUAUUCUAUUAAUAUAAGCUCAUAUCUUUAAGAUAAAUAGGUCUUAAUCGGAAUAGAGCUCCUUUGGGCCGGCCUGUAAGGGGAUCCUUACCAGUCAUCUUUUAAGAAAGAAAAAAAAAAUAGAGCUCCUUUAAGAGAUUUCUAGUAUAAUCUAGCUUAAUUUGAUAAUACCAUCCAGAGGUAGGAAAAUGUGCACUCAGGCAAAUAAACAUACAAACAGAACUUAUAGCUUCAAUUGUAAAAUUUCAGACUUGGGUCAGGAAUAAACAGAAAAACAAAACUCACAGUUAUUGAACAUUUCAUAUUGAGCUUUUCUCUUCCCAGUGUGUACGAAUUCUUAAUUGAUUUGAGCUCAAAAUAGACAAACAGAAAAGAGUAGAAACUAGAUGCUUUAUUGUCUUUCACCAAACAGGGACAUGACCUCUAUAAACCAUUGGCAGCAGAAGAGUUUGGAGAUGUGAAUUUUUUUUAUCACUCAUCCCUUGGGAAGAUGGUACUUACAGUGUAGGAGAGGACCACCAGAGGACUAUCAAGGAUGUUGUUGAGUAGCUGUCAGUGACAGACUUUUUGUAGCACUAGCUGGGCUUUUCUGAUCACCUUCCCUCAUUCCCCCUGCCCAUCAAUGGAAGCUGCUGUCCUAGCGGGGACAGGUCUCAGCUCUCUACAGCCACCCUAUUUCCAAAUACAGUUUAGGGCUUCAACAUAUCUUAUUUUAGGGGGACACAAGUCCACCCAAACCAACCAUUUUGAUUGGAUGACUACUGAGCAGAGGUGAAAUUUUUUUUUAAAAAAAAAAUUUUUUUUUUUUUUUAAUUUUUUGUGUAUUUUUGCAGCUGGCCUAUGCAGGGAUCCGAACUCUUUCAAAAGUUUUAACCACUGGUCUGUCACUGUCAACCAACAGUUAGUAGAUUGGCUUUGGGACUAGAAAUGAGGACUUAGAGAAAAAAGCCUUCAGAAGAGGGUGAAGGAAAAUGAACUUUCCUCCUUUCUCUGAGGCAGUGAGUUUGGCUCAAAUUCCAAGGUGUGGAGCUGCCUGGAACUGCAGGUGGUGGCUGGAGGUCUGGACCCUGACACAAAUUCACGUGAGGAACUGGGUGCAGCAUCUGCUGCAUGGGUGGGGUUGAGAAGCAACUUCAAAAAGCAGUUAUGAGGGCUGGCCAGUGAGCUUACUCACCAAGGUCAAGGGUUUGGAUCCCCCCACCAGCCGCCAAAGAAAACAAAACCAACAAAAAGCAGUUGUGUCUCUGUUGUGCUUCCCUUCUGUUUUUUCAGAAACCUUAAUAAAACCUUGUUAUCU